UACGUAGGGGGCAAGCGUUGUCCGGAAUUAUUGGGCGUAAAGAGCGUGUAGGCGGUCCGGUAAGUCAGCUGUGAAAGUCAAGGGCUCAACCCUUGAAAGCCGGUUGAUACUGUCGGGCUAGAGUCCGGAAGAGGCGAGUGGAAUUCCCGGUGUAGCGGUGAAAUGCGCAGAUAUCAGGAGGAACACCGAUGGCGAAGGCAGCUCGCUGGGACGGUACUGACGCUGAGGCGCGAAAGCUAGGGGAGCAAACGGG
rnacentral:rRNA from 1 species